rnacentral:rRNA from 1 species
AUUGAACGCUGGCGGCAGGCCUAACACAUGCAAGUCGAGCGGCAGCGGAAAGUAGCUUGCUACUUUGCCGGCGAGCGGCGGACGGGUGAGUAAUGUCUGGGAAACUGCCUGAUGGAGGGGGAUAACUACUGGAAACGGUAGCUAAUACCGCAUAACGUCGCAAGACCAAAGAGGGGGACCUUCGGGCCUCUUGCCAUCAGAUGUGCCCAGAUGGGAUUAGCUAGUAGGUGGGGUAACGGCUCACCUAGGCGACGAUCCCUAGCUGGUCUGAGAGGAUGACCAGCCACACUAGAACUGAGACACGGUCCAGACUCCUACGGGAGGCAGCAGUGGGGAAUAUUGCACAAUGGGCGCAAGCCUGAUGCAGCCAUGCCGCGUGUAUGAAGAAGGCCUUCGGGUUGUAAAGUACUUUCAGCGGGGAGGAAGGUGUUGAGGUUAAUAACCUCAGUAAUUGACGUUACCCGCAGAAGAAGCACCGGCUAACUCCGUGCCAGCCGCCGCCGUAAAAC